rnacentral:rRNA from 1 species
AUUGAACGCUGGCGGCAUGCCUUACACAUGCAAGUCGAACGGCAGCACGGGAGCUUGCUCCUGGUGGCGAGUGGCGAACGGGUGAGUAAUACAUCGGAACGUACCCAGUAGUGGGGGAUAACGCACCGAAAGGUGCGCUAAUACCGCAUACGCCCUACGGGUGAAAGCGGGGGACCGUAAGGCCUCGCGCUAUUGGAGCGGCCGAUGUCUGAUUAGCUAGUUGGCGGGGUAAAAGCCCACCAAGGCGACGAUCAGUAGCUGGUCUGAGAGGACGAUCAGCCACACUGGGACUGAGACACGGCCCAGACUCCUACGGGAGGCAGCAGUGGGGAAUUUUGGACAAUGGGGGCAACCCUGAUCCAGCAAUGCCGCGUGUGCGAAGAAGGCCUUCGGGUUGUAAAACACUUUUGUCAGGGAAGAAAUCUUUCAGGCUAAUACCCUUGGAAGGAUGACGGUACCUGAAGAAUAAGCACCGGCUAACUACGUGCCAGCCGCCGCGGUAA